GACAGAGGGUGCAAACGUUUGUUCGGAUUUACUGGGCGUAAAGCGCGUGUAGGCGGCUUUGCAAGUCGGAUGUGAAAGCCCACGGCUCAACCGUGGAAGUGCAUCCGAAACUGCAUAGCUGGAGUCCCGGAGAGGAAGGUGGAAUGCUUGGUGUAGAGGUGAAAUUCGUAGAUAUCAAGCAGAACACCUGCGGCGAAGGCGGCCUUCUGGACGGUGACUGACGGCUGAGACG
rnacentral:rRNA from 1 species